CGCUGGCGGCGUGCCUAAUACAUGCAAGUCAACGGUCUUUCUAUGGAAGCUUGCUUCCACUGAGAAGAUAGUGGCGAACGGGUGAGGUAACACGUGGGUAACCUGCCCAUAAGAGGGGGAUAACAUCCGGAAACGGGUGCUAAUACCGCAUAGUUUCUUGAUCGCAUGAUCGGGAAAGGAAGACGGCCUUUGUGCUGUCGCUUAUGGAUGGACCCGCGGCGUAUUAGUUAGUUGGUGAGGUAACGGCUCACCAAGACGAUGAUACGUAGCCGACCUGAGAGGGUGAUCGGCCACAUUGGGACUGAGACACGGCCCCAACUCCUACGGGAGGCAGCAGUAGGGAAUCUUCCGCAAUGGACGAAAGUCUGACGGAGCAACGCCGCGUGAGUGAAGAAAAGGUUUUCGGAUCGUAAAACUCUGUUGUCAGAGAAGAACAAGUUGGAGAGUAACUGCUCCAGCCUUGACGGUAUCUGACCAGAAAGCCACGGCUAACUACGUGCCAGCCGCAGC
rnacentral:rRNA from 1 species